CCAGAGUGGAUCCUGAGUACGGCGGAACACGUGAAAUUCCGUCGGAAUCCGGGAGGACCAUCUCCCAAGGCUAAAUACUCCCUAGUGACCGAUAGUGAACCAGUACCGUGAGGGAAAGGUGAAAAGCACCCCGGAAGGGGAGUGAAACAGUUCCUGAAACCGUGUGCCUACAAGUAGUUAGAGCCCGUUAAUGGGUGAUAGCGUGCCUUUUGUAGAAUGAACCGGCGAGUUACGAUUUGUUGCAAGGUUAAGCGGAAAAAGCGGAGCCGUAGCGAAAGCGAGUCUGAAUAGGGCGCAUAAGUAACAGGUCGUAGACCCGAAACCAGGUGAUCUACCCAUGUCCAGGAUGAAGGUAAGGUAAUACUUACUGGAGGUCCGAACCCACGCACGUUGAAAAGUGCGGGGAUGAGGUGUGGGUAGCGGAGAAAUUCCAAUCGAACUUGGAGAUAGCUGGUUCUCUCCGAAAUAGCUUUAGGGCUAGCCUCGAGGUAAAGAGUCAUGGAGGUAGAGCACUGUUUGGACUAGGGGCCCUUCUCGGGUUACCGAAUUCAGAUAAACUCCGAAUGCCAUGUACUUAUACUCGGGAGUCAGACUGCGAGUGAUAAGAUCCGUAGUCGAAAGGGAAACAGCCCAGACCACCAGUUAAGGUCCCCAAAUAUAUGUUAAGUGGAAAAGGAUGUGGGGUUGCUUAGACAACCAGGAUGUUGGCUUAGAAGCAGCCACCAUUGAAAGAGUGCGUAAUAGCUCACUGGUCGAGUGACCCCGCGCCGAAAAUGUACCGGGGCUAAACAUAUUACCGAAACUGUGGAUGAACCUCUUUAGAGGUUCGUGGUAGGAGAGCGUUCUAAGGGCGGUGAAGUCAGACCGGAAGGACUGGUGGAGCGCUUAGAAGUGAGAAUGCCGGUAUGAGUAGCGAAAGAAGGGUGAGAAUCCCUUCCACCGAAUAUCUAAGGUUUCCUGAGGAAGGCUCGUCCGCUCAGGGUUAGUCGGGACCUAAGCCGAGGCCGAUAGGCGUAGGCGAUGGACAACAGGUAGAGAUUCCUGUACCAGUGCUAAUUGUUUAACCGAUGGGGUGACACAGAAGGAUAGGGAAUCGCACGAAUGGAAAUGUGCGUCCAAGCAGUGAGUGUGAGAAGUAGGCAAAUCCGCUUCUCGCGAAGCAUGAGCUGUGAUGGGGAAGGAAAUUAAGUACGGAAGUUCCUGAUUUCACGCUGUCAAGAAAAGCCUCUAGGAAGAGUAGUACUGCCCGUACCGCAAACCGACACAGGUAGAUGAGGAGAGAAUCCUAAGGUGAGCGAGAGAACUCUCGUUAAGGAACUCGGCAAAAUGACCCCGUAACUUCGGGAGAAGGGGUGCUCUAUUAGGGUGCAAGCCCGAGAGAGCCGCAGUGAAUAGGCCCAGGCGACUGUUUAGCAAAAACACAGGUCUCUGCAAAACCGUAAGGUGACGUAUAGGGGCUGACGCCUGCCCGGUGCUGGAAGGUUAAGAGGAGUGCUUAGCUUCGGCGAAGGUACGAAUUGAAGCCCCAGUAAACGGCGGCCGUAACUAUAACGGUCCUAAGGUAGCGAAAUUCCUUGUCGGGUAAGUUCCGACCCGCACGAAAGGCGCAACGAUCUGGGCACUGUCUCAACGAGAGACUCGGUGAAAUUAUAGUACCUGUGAAGAUGCAGGUUACCCGCGACAGGACGGAAAGACCCCGUGGAGCUUUACUGCAACCUGAUAUGGAAUGUUUGUACCGCUUGUACAGGAUAGGUAGGAGCCGAAGAGACGUGUGCGCUAGCAUACGAGGAGGCAAUGGUGGGAUACUACCCUGGCUGUAUGACCAUUCUAACCCGCCACGCUUAGCGCGUGGGGAGACAGUGUCAGGUGGGCAGUUUGACUGGGGCGGUCGCCUCCUAAAGAGUAACGGAGGCGCCCAAAGGUUCCCUCAGAAUGGAUGGAAAUCAUUCGCAGAGUGUAAAGGCACAAGGGAGCUUGACUGCGAGACUGACAAGUCGAGCAGGGACGAAAGUCGGGCUUAGUGAUCCGGUGGUUCCGCAUGGAAGGGCCAUCGCUCAACGGAUAAAAGCUACCCCGGGGAUAACAGGCUUAUCUCCCCCAAGAGUCCACAUCGACGGGGAGGUUUGGCACCUCGAUGUCGGCUCGUCGCAUCCUGGGGCUGUAGUCGGUCCCAAGGGUUGGGCUGUUCGCCCAUUAAAGCGGCACGCGAGCUGGGUUCAGAACGUCGUGAGACAGUUCGGUCCCUAUCCGUCGCGGGCGCAGGAAAUUUGAGAGGAGCUGUCCUUAGUACGAGAGGACCGGGAUGGACACACCGCUGGUGUACCAGUUGUUCCGCCAGGAGCAUCGCUGGGUAGCUAUGUGUGGCAGGGAUAAACGCUGAAAGCAUCUAAGCGUGAAGCCCCCCUCAAGAUGAGAUUUCCCAUUUCUUCGGAAAGUAAGAUCCCUGAAAGAUGAUCAGGUAGAUAGGUUUGGAGUGGAAGUGUAGCGAUACAUGGAGCGGACAAAUACUAAUCGAUCGAGGACUUAACCAAAA
rnacentral:rRNA from 1 species